ACCCGGGAACUCUCCCCUCCCCGCCCACCAAUCAGCUCUGCUCACAGUGCGGCCUUCCCAAGGGCAACGCGCUCCCCUUCCCACCCCUCCAGCAUAGCGCUGGUUUCCUAGCCGCUCCUGGUGCUUUGCAUGAGUGUGUGUGAGGGAAUCGCCUCCAAGCCAACAGUCAGUUGAGGGAAGAGGAGAAAACAAAACCCUGGAGUCAGGUGUGGGCCCCUCCUGAAGGGGGGAGGCGGAAAUGCUGAGAAAAUGUUUACCAGGAGGACUCCCUGGGGAUGAUUUCUCAGAGUUGUGGCAGAUAUAUAUAUAAUAUAUCAUGAUAGUUUUAUUUCAUAUGAGCAAGGUGGCCAGUUAACAGGGAAGGUGGAGUCAGGGCAGAACAGCAGCUGAAGAGAAUUUUCCCCAAUGGACAUCAAUGUUGAGUAACUGCCCUUGAUUCAGGAGAGUCGUUAGCACUGAAAACAGGUUGCAGGGGACCCAGAGGCCUUUCCCCUUGCUCUACCGCUUGCCACAGGAGGCUGCUUCCCACCAUCCCUUCCAACUGAGCUCACUCAGCCUUUUAUAGGAAUCACCUGACCCUAUUCCCAACAAUAGUCUGGAAUUUUAUAACACCCUUCUAUAUAAAGAGGAUCAUCUUUGGUGUCCAGAUUGAAAGUCACCACCACUCACCGCCAAGUUCAAGUGUAUUCAGGCAGUUUGUUUGCAGCAAUUUUUCUGAAACAGUCUACUGAUGCUAUUUCUCAAACUGGAGCUCAUGUGUGGCCAUUUCCCCCCGUGAUAACGGUUUUUCCUUCAUUAUGCAUCAUACCUUGCAAAUGAUCCAGGAAAUAUGCUGGAACUGGUGGGCUACAAUAGACAAAGGAGCAUGUAUGAACUUGUAGGCCAGAUUUCAAUUAUGGAGAAAAAGGGAGAUGCAAUUGAUGAAUGACUAGAUGAAGCAAAGAACUCACAAAUGGCUGAGUGCAGAAGACAAUUGAUCUACCACAGCUAAAACAUGGAUGAUUUAACUACAUCAUGAAAGAAAAAAGAUAGAAUUCCUCUUUGAUAAGGUGCCUGAUCUGGAAAAUUUCUAAGGGAAAAUUGUCUAGACUCUCAGAAGAGAAAGGUGGCAGAAUAUAAUGAAGAUCUUGUAAACUUUGAUACUGUAGACUUGUGGUUAAGAGUUAACAGGACCUGUGUUUGAGAUUAAAUUAGCACUUUUGAUACCUCUGUGACAGUGUCCGCAUUAGUGAUUGACAUCUAGGCUGGUGUAGCCCAUCAUAAUUAGGGCCCUGGGUAUUCUGCAGCUGCAGAAUGUUGCAGAAUUCACCCGUUGCCCCUCCAGAAUCUCAGGUUUAAUUUUUUUAAUUUUAAUUUUUUUUCUCUCUCGUGACUGUGGAGAGAAUUUUAAAAAUCCAGAUUGAGCAGAGAUGCUUGUCUGAGUCUGCAGAGAGCCUGAAACAAUAGUCUUCAAAGGCGUUCACUGCCCCAUUCAUUGCAUUCAAGGCCCCACAGACUCCAUGAUUCUGCAGCUGUGGAACUCCACAUUUUUUGAAGAAGCUACGUAAUUCAGCUUUUUUUGCUUACCCCAGGCUCCUGACAUUUGCUUUCUGUCUCCUGGCCAUACCAGGAGCUGCCUGCAUCUUCCUCUCUAGCUUUCCCCACAAAGGACAGUUAAUUGGAAUACAGUGCAUGUUCCCUAUGUUGUUCCAUGGAGCCAGGCAGUGGGUGGUCAGGAAACCAGAACUGGAGUUUAGUCUGCAACCAUGCAGUGGGAGUGGGAGGAAUCCAGAAACAUAGGCUAGCACGAUGGGAUGCAUAGAAAAUAGCGCAGCAGCCAAGGCCUGGGUUGCUGGAGAGAUGAGCUUCUGAAGCUUGAUACAAGCUUCCCCAUCUCCUUCUUGGACUGCAUGGGGAGAAGGAGGUUCUGAGCUGGGCUGCUUAGACAACAUUGCAGGAGCCAAGAGCCAGAGAGUGGACCCAGCUAUCUGAAGACCGUAGUGGGAAAACAGAAAUCCUUGAAUAUAAUCAUUGAUGAAUUUUUCAUCAAUGAGUGUUUUCAACUACGAACCAUAAAUGUGUGUUUUUGUGUGAGGGUGGCAAAGCUGGGAAUUAAGGGUGUUUCAUGGCAAUAGAGUACUUUUAAAGUAGCUGAGGAAUGUAGGGAUUGCCAUGAAAUAUAGGGUGUUUUGCUGCAGAAUACAGUCCCAAUGUUCUGUGGAGUGUACAGGGCACUGAUCACAAUGUUGCUUCUGAGAUACAAGGGUUGGGAAGUUAUGUUAUUUUAUUUUUCUCAGCAUCAGUUCACACCUUCAGAUGCAUUAUGACAUGUAGAGGGAUAGGCUGGCAAAGUCUACAAUAUAAAAGGUUGUUUGUGCUUUUCUUCAGCUCUCUAGAUUGUGAGUAGAGUCCAAGAGGAAGACACUCACCUUUUUUUUUUUUUUUUUGGUUAGUGAUUUGACCCUGUCACUACAGGAAUCAUCUCCUUAUAGAUUUUUCAGUCCUGGUUCAUAAAGGAGCUAUUGCUCUCUGCCUGGAACUAGGGAAGUUCUCUAAGACCAUAGACAGCUUGAGGACCACUGGCCUUUUACAA